rnacentral:lncRNA from 1 species
GACUUUCUAGCUCCUACUUCCUACAAAGCUCAGUGGUAAUCAUCAGAAAAGCUCCAUAGAAGGUGGAUAGAUUGAAACUUGGAAGCUUAAAACUUGGAUAAAAGGUUGGAACUCGUGGGAAGAAAAGUAAGUAUGAUUCGUAGCUGCUGGAUGUAUAUAUGAUGAAAAUCGUAAGUGAAUCAUCCCUUAUGAAAUUUUCUGGAUUUCUGCUGAAACUACAUCGGGUUUUUUGGGUUGACCCGUAA